CUCCAGUAACUUGGAGGCAUGCCUGUCUGAGCGUCAUUUAAAACCAUAGACCCUUCUGGGUUUGUAGUUGGGCCUCGCCUCGGGCGUAGCUCGAAGCCAUCGGUCUUAUACGCGGACGAGCUCCAUUCGGACGGAACGUGUUUGGACCUUAAUACAUCUGACUUGACCUCAGAUCAGGUAGGACUACCGCCUGAACUUAA
rnacentral:misc_RNA from 1 species